CCAGCUCUUUAAACUCCAGUCCUUAUUGUGAACCAAGCCUAUGGUUCAGUCCUCAAGACAACCUUAGGCAACAGUGAGUUCCUAGAGGCCCACGACUCCAGGUAUUUCCUGGACAUCUAUGCUGAGAGGUAGAGAAAGCAGAGCUACGCAGCUCCAGUGAUCUGGGGAAGAAACCGUGUUGCUGGCUUCCUCCCGGAAGAAGACCUGAAGAAAAACAGCAUGCAGUUCUGACAACAUGCUGAGGGCCAUCGACAGACUGGAGCCUGUUUGCAAGAAGUGGGGAGCGGAACUGGCCUGUAAGCCAGCAGACUGUGCCCAUCAAUGUCCCCGGG